AAGCCUCCUUUCCACUGCACAUGACAAAAGACAAGCGGCAGACCGGAAGUCUUUAAUUUCCAUUGGAGAGCAGUCCGGAAGCUGCGUUGAGUUCCGAUCAUCUCCGUAUGUGGAAAAUUUGGAUCCGAAUUGAGCUGCGGAUCUGUUGAAAUAUUUGAACUCCUGCGACUAGACCGUAUGCGACCUGCCGACCGGAUAUGAUGUACUCCAGUGUUGUCCAAGCAGAUCCGUGCACGCGAGAUGAGAAAUAGGAGUUUAUUUGGUUAUUUUUUUAAUUAUAAAAAUUCUUUAUUAAAAAAAA
rnacentral:lncRNA from 1 species